GCUAGUAGGCCUAAAUAUCCUAAAGUCACCAGAUUCCUUCUAAUCUUGGGAGCUAAGCAAGGUCAGCCUUUGUUAGUUCUUGGAUGGGAGAUCAAUAACAAAUAGCAGAUGCCAUAGGCA
rnacentral:rRNA from 11 species